UUCUUAUCAAGAGCGGUGGAGGGACUGGCCCUAUGAAGCCCGACAACCGGUAUUUAUAAUACAUCGGUGUCAAAUCCUGCAGAAUCUUUGAUUUUGAAAGAUAAGAA
rfam:Clostridium acetireducens DSM 10703 CLAC_contig000016, whole genome shotgun sequence.